AUUGAACGCUGGCGGCAGGCCUAACACAUGCAAGUCGAGCGGCGCGGCAGUCGGGGGAGUGAGGCCCAGGACUCGGACAGGGCGUGGGGGAUAACGUCCGGUAAUGGGCGCUAAUACCGCAUACUAUCAGCAUAGGCUGGGUCGGAUUAGCUAGUUGGUGGGGUAAAGGCCUACCAAGGCGACGACCCGUAACUGGUCUGAGAGGAUGAUCAGUCACACUGGAACUGAGACACGGUCCAGACUCCUACGGGAGGCAGCAGUGGGGAAUAUUGGACAAUGGGCGAAAGCCUGAUCCAGCCAUGCCGCGUGUGUGAAGAAGGUCUUCGGAUUGUAAAGCACUUUAAGUUGGGAGGCGUUACCAACAGAAUAAGCACCGGCUAACUUCGUGCCAGCAGCCGCGGUAAUUC
rnacentral:rRNA from 1 species